AGUGAACGCUGGCGGUAGGCCUAACACAUGCAAGUCGAACGGCAGCACAGUAAGAGCUUGCUCUUACGGGUGGCGAGUGGCGGACGGGUGAGGAAUACAUCGGAAUCUACUUUUUCGUGGGGGGUAACGUAGGGAAACUUACGCUAAUACCGCAUACGACCUACGGGUGAAAGCAGGGGAUCUUCGGACCUUGCGCGAUUGAAUGAGCCGAUGUCGGAUUAGCUAGUUGGCGGGGUAAAGGCCCACCAAGGCGACGAUCCGUAGCUGGUCUGAGAGGAUGAUCAGCCAAACUGGAACUGAGACACGGUCCAGACUCCUACGGGAGGCAGCAGUGGGGAAUAUUGGACAAUGGGCGCAAGCCUGAUCCAGCCAUAACGCGUGGGUGAAGAAGGCCUUCGGGUUGUAAAGCCCUUUUGUUGGGAAAGAAAAGCAGAAGGUUAAUACCCCGCUGUUCUGACGGUACCCAAAGAAUAAGCACCGGCUAACUUCGUG
rnacentral:rRNA from 1 species